UUUCUUUAUUUAUACAGUUACAUGUUACAUUGGUUACAUUAACAUACGGCAGACAAUAAAUGAUCGAGCAGAAUCAGUAGAUGAGUAGGAUGAGCACAAGCACGUGGUUUAAUUCAAAUCCGUUCGGCAGUAUUCGAUUACGUUCGCAUUUCAGAUAUUGAUACUAAACAUAAGAUUUUCGACAAAUAUACUUAUCAUUAUUGCUUUACACUAACUUAUAUUAACUAUUAAUCGAUAAUCAUGACAGUGAUAACAGUUUUAAAAUAUAACGUCAAUUUAUUAUCAUUGUUAUCUCAUCGUUCGUAUAUGUUAAAUAAUUCACGAUUUUUAGCAUCGUUCGCGAAAUAUGCAGAACACAAACCGUUG